UACGUACUGUGCGAACGUUAUUCGGAAUCACUGGGCUUAAAGGGUGCGUAGGCGGCCAAUUAAGUAGGGUGUGAAAUCCCCCGGCUCAACCGGGGAAUUGCGCUCUAAACUGAUUGGCUUGAGUGAGAUAGGGGUGUGCGGAACUUCCAGUGGAGCGGUGAAAUGUGUUGAUAUUGGAAGGAACGCCGGUAGCGAAAGCGGCACACUGGGUCUCAACUGACGCUGAGGCACGAAAGCCAGGGUAGCGAACGGGAUUAGAUACCCCGGUAGUCCUGGCUGUAAACGAUGAGUACUAGUUGGGAGGGGCUUCGGCCUCUCCGAACGCAGCGAAAGCAUUAAGUACUCCGCCUGGGGAGUAUGGUCGCAAGGCUGAA
rnacentral:rRNA from 1 species